UACGUAGGGUGCAAGCGUUGUCCGGAAUUAUUGGGCGUAAAGAGUUCGUAGGCGGUCUGUCGCGUCGAAUGUGAAAACCCGGGGCUCAACUCCGGGCUUGCAUUCGAUACGGGCAGGCUAGAGUUCGGUAGGGGAGUCUGGAAUUCCUGGUGUAGCGGUGAAAUGCGCAGAUAUCAGGAGGAACACCGGUGGCGAAGGCGGGACUCUGGGCCGAUACUGACGCUGAGGAGCGAAAGCGUGGGGAGCGAACAGG
rnacentral:rRNA from 1 species